AAUGUAAUGAUAUGAGAUCAGCUUUACAGACGGGUAAACACCUGAAAGAUCCUUGGAGAUUGUCCCAUAAAGGGACAAGUAAGACAACUACAAAUAUUUUUUUUUAAAGUUAACUUUGUCAAUGACCACAAACAGGAAUUCUUCUGUUUGUCAAAAACUGCAAAAUGAUGCUCUCCUGAUGCAGUUUGAGCAGCAAAAAUAGAAAAUAAAAUAAUGUGGACCCAUUGUUGAAAUAAAAUUGAACCCGUUUUGUGCACAUUUUAAAAUAGCCAUAUUUAGUGCCACCAACUGCUGCGGAUGGCUAUGAUAUGCAAAAGUCUCCAUCCUGAGCAUAACAUGACCCCUUUUUCUCCCAGAUGUUUUUCCAGGUGAAUACACAACACUGUAUAUUCGGACCAAUAUGGUAGUUAACCUGCUGAUCUAUUGGUGUCUUAUGUAUAUGUUUUCCCCACAAAAUACUUUAUUUAGAGAUUUAUUUAUUUAUUUAUUUACAAAAAAGAUGACCUAUUUAUAAACUGUAACCACAUCUUGUUGAGGUGAACAGUGUGGAAUCUCGAUCAAGCAGUGUGGUUUUAAUGUGCAAUACAGGACAGAAUAGAUGUUAUUUCAUUAGAUGAGAGGUCACUUGAUAUCUGCUUCAGUGUUUGUUGUGAGCCUCUGCCAAUGUACAUUUCGUUGCCGCAUUUGGUUGGAGGAGAUAAGGAAUGUAACCAGCAUGUUUACAUAAAGGCAGUGUGGAACGUUGCCAGUAUAACUAUCAGUCUUUAGUUGUCAGAAGUGAAAGAGGAGAAUUUAAUGGAUGUAGGUCAGCGGAUGGAGCACAUGGGUGCAUUUUGCUCAACAACCACCAGGUGGGACCACAUGGCACACACAGUCACACACGCUGUACAAGUCUGCUGAACUAAUCUUCAGUUAGAAAUGUAUCAUAGAAGGUACAAAACUGUGGCAACACCUGUGUUUAUAUACUGAGAUUUGUCCCAGCAAAUGUGACCCAGGUCUGGCUUCGCAACCCAAACAAAAACUGUCUAAUGUCUGCACAAUGUUCCAUGUUUAGAUAAAGUUUAUACUAACUGUCUGACUUCAGUCUUUGCUGUUGUGUAACCAGAUUUGAUGACCCCCAUUUAGCCUCCCCUCCUUAAUCCCAGCGUGUCUGUCUGUUUUCUUCAUAUUGCUCUGCAGAUGCAUGACGAAUCCUUCUGUAUGUGUUAGCAGCAUGGUCUACUGUGAUGGACACCUGUAGGAACUUUUGUAUCCACUUCAUUCCCACAGGUUAAUUCCCCAACAUCAGAGGUGUUGUCAAAAAUAAAAUGGAGGACACAUCAGAGACACACACAUA